rnacentral:rRNA from 1 species
ACUCCUACGGGAGGCAGCAGUAGGGAAUCUUCCACAAUGGGCGCAAGCCUGAUGGAGCAACACCGCGUGAGUGAAGAAGGGUUUCGGCCCGUAAAGCUCUGUUGUUAAAGAAGAACACGUAUGAGAGUAACUGUUCAUACGUUGACGGUAUUUAACCAGAAAGUCACGGCUAACUACGUGCCAGCAGCCGCGGUAAUACGUAGGUGGCAAGCGUUAUCCGGAUUUAUUGGGCGUAAAGAGAGUGCAGGCGGUUUCUAAGUCUGAUGUGAAAGCCUUCGGCUUAACCGGAGAAGUGCAUCGGAAACUGGAUAACUUGAGUGCAGAAGAGGGUAGUGGAACUCCAUGUGUAGCGGUGGAAUGCGUAGAUAUAUGGAAGAACACCAGUGGCGAAGGCGGCUACCUGGUCUGCAACUGACGCUGAGACUCGAAAGCAUGGGUAGCGAGCAGGAUUAGAUACCCCUGGUAGGAUAGCG